rnacentral:lncRNA from 1 species
GCCGCCUGGGCAGCUCAGACAGCUGAUUCUGCGCGGGCGCCUGGACCGGACCGCUGGGCGGGCGGGCGGGCGCGGGGGCUGGUGCCCACGUAGGCGCCUGGUCACUCACGUGAGCACCGCGUCACGGGAGCUAGGCCACCACCACCCCCUUCCCGCCCACCUCACCAUCCAUCCCCGAGGGACCAGGAGGUUGCGGAAGGUGGGAGAGGUAAACACCGAUGACUCCCAGAUCUACAGCUCCAGGCUGUUCCCUUCUCCGUGUCUCAUAUCAGCUUUGCCAACUGUUUAUUGGACAUCACCGCCUGAGUAUCCCUGAGGGACACGAUUAUCCUGUUUGGAGUGUAUUGAACUUCUUGGAUACAUCGAUUAGUGUCUUUCCUCAAGUUUGAGUAAUUUGCAGUCAUUUUUCCUUUGAAAAUUCUUUCUUCUCUAUUCUGUUUCUCUCCUUGUUGAACCCCCAUCAUGCAUAGGUGUGCUCUGUUCAUUUUUCACAUUACUUUUAUUUUUCUGCUCCUCGGACUGAAUAAUCUCAAUUGACCUAUUUUAAGUUCACUGAUUCUUUUGCCUGCCCAAACCUACUGUUGUACCCCUCUAGUGACUUUUAGUUAUUGUACUUUUCAAAUAA